UGAGACUGUAGAUCGAAUGAGACAGGGAUUUUUGUGAAUGAUCUGGCCAGCGUCAUGGCCGCGGUACGCCAUUAGCGUCCCCGGUACCCCUCCCACUGGCCCUUGAGCUCAGCCAGCAGCCGCUGCGGACUCCACCCACUCUACUCAAUGGCUCCCGGAGCUGGUGCGGAGACCAAGCCGGUUACCUGGCUUGAACGCGAUCGGAUCGUGCUCCAAGUUGGGGGAUGGGAGGGCUGGUCACAAGGGGGCCGCCCCCUGGCCCCUCCCCUCUCGACGAGUGGCCCCCAGCCCCGGAUUCUGCCCUCCUGCAGUGAUGAAUGGCACCGCUGUCCCGCGCAGACAAACCUCUUCCUGAAACAGAUUCUACUGGAGGUAACCACAGCGACGGAUUUUAGAGAAAGCUCCUGGAGUGGAUGUUCUGGCCUCACCUGGCCCCAGGCCUGAGCUUCGCAGAAAAAAAAAUAUUCAUUGGGAAGGGGCGGGAGGUUGCAGGGAUGUCAACUCCCUUACGGUAAUCCCUUAGGGACCCAUCAGAAUAUGAUCUCUGGGAGUUAAGUGGAGAGAGGAAUUCUAGAGUGUGGGGAGGGGAAGCAUAAGCAAGGGCUUCAGUCUCUGAUAGGAGAGCUUAGGGACUUGCUAGCUGUGUGAGCUCAGAUAAAAGACCUAACCUCUCUGAGUUGUGGCGUCUGUUAAACAAAAUUGGAAAUAAUCCCAACCUGUUAUGAACAGCAAAUUAUAGUGUAUAUAAAGGAUUUUUAUGGCAAGCUUCAUUUUUCAUAACCUCCCUUUCUCAGUCCCCACCUUAAAAUCAGCCUAUAGCACAAUGCCGAAUACGGGAUACAGGAAAAGAACACUUCUGUCUUUGGAAGCUCUCUCAAAAUUAUCGCUCAGUUCAUCAGAUUGUCCCUCCUAAGCAAUUCAUGUACAUGAGCAAGCAUUCAACAAAUGUACGUGAAUCCCUUAACUGUGCUAGCUGCAUUAGGUUGUACUGUGAGUACUCAGUAAAAUGAUUUGUGUCCUCCACAAGUUCAGAGCCCAGGAGACUUUUUCCUUCCCUUUAACACAUUCAGCAUCUAAGGCUAUAACCCCAUGAUACAUGCUAUCUCCAGAAUUUGUUGCCCUUCCUGUCCAAUCCCAAGAAUAUUCCUGCGUAUCAGUAAGGAUGUUUAAUGCUACAUUUAAUCUCUCUGUGAUAGUCAUGUACCUCCUCUCUAAACCUCAGGAUUAAGGUUCAGUUCUCUCAGGCUUGGGAGUGAUAUCUCCCAAAGAGAUUCAUUAAUGUCUAUGAAUUUUCAGAGCACAGAUAACAUGAUCUUGGAGAGAAGAACCACCAUAACUGUCAUGUAGCCCAGAGUGACUAUAGGUUGAGAGUUUCAAAUAAGUCUCCUUUAAAAAAAUAUAUUUAUGGGAACAUUUACCUGGGAGACAAGAGAGUAAUGCUCUUAUACUUUUACAUCAUUACUAGUUAUGUUAGUAAUCUAAAGCAAGCUACACUUCAUCUUUACAACUGUUUCCUGAGUAAGAAAAGAACUGGUUUCACCUGCUAGCAGUUCUUAUCAUAAACUCAUGGCAACUUAACAGGAAUCCCAAUGAUGUUUCCAAUUCACAGAUACUUGGCCCCCAAGUCAGCUAAUGACCAUAGAGCUGACUGGAAAGACCGCUGCCACUCUUGUAGUUCUAACUGCCACAUCCGCACAUCAGAGGGGAAGGGCUUACUGUUUUCAAGCUAGAAUUUUAAGUUUCUCUGGAUACAGCUAAGCUCUUGGUACAGGACCCUUGAGAAGGAGUCUUAAGAGAUGUAACAGCCCACUCAAACCGAAGUGCAUUAGUUUAGACAAACUUCAGUUUGUCUUUCUCUGGAGUUUUCAAAGGACUUUUAAGUAAAAAAAAAAAGAAGAAGAACAACAACAACAAGGACAGCAGUGUUUUCCAAAACCGUGGAACUUGGACUUGUGUAAAUAUUAGAUUUAGACAUGGGAGUUAGACAGCUUGUACCAGAGUGUGGAGGAGCGCACACACAAGGUGGGGGUGAAGUGAGAGAAGCAGAAGUGUAGUCACCAGUGGGUGCCCAGGAGGACUUUGAGGGGAGGCAGGGUUAGAAGGGGAAAAUGUCCUGCCCUCCUAAUGGUGAGUGGGUGGUGGCACAAGGGAAAGCGGAGGCCCUUGUGGCCUGAGGAGCAGCCCCUUUUACCUCCCCUGCUUCUCCCCCUCCAUCUGAAUCACCCUUUGUCUUGUGUGUCCUUCUUUUGGCAGAUAGAGUAGGGUAAGAGAGCUCAGUGGCCCUGGAAGUCCCAGCAGUGCCACUGCUACCUGAAAAGUAGCCAGUCAUCACCCCCACAUACUGGCCUGUUCCUCUCAGACCAAACCUUGUGAUUCUGAUCCACUCCUGACAGUAGAACCCUGAGGGCUACACCAGGGAGAGGGAGCAGAUCCUCAGGAGUCCAUGAUGACUCUGAAAUCACCCCAGAGGUCCCACCCCAACUGCGUUCCAGAGUCAGCUUUGGUCUGGAUCAAUCUACAAAGAUCUGUUCUUUCUUCUGGUUUCCUCCUGUUUUAUACCCUCCUCCAGGAGGCCUUCUCUGUUCCCCAGAUCUGGAGGGGAUCCCUCAGAGUACAGCAGUAAGUACAACAUGACCUUUGUAAAGAAGAUCCUCUUGAGUCCCUCAAUUUGUACCCUGUCCCAGCCCCUCACCCUCUCCUAACCCUGUCCCUUUGUCAGCAAAACGAGAUCUGCAUGAAGAGACUGCCCACAAAGAAAGAAGGUAUCCUAUCGAAGUAUAGCUGGAAAACAUGUCCACAUCUUAAUCAUGUAGAAGUAUCUGGAGGGAAAGCUUUUUGGAAUUGUAGACUAAUUUAUGAAGGAAAGGACUUUUUCCCCUAGGUAAAUACAUUUGCUCAGCCACAGCUAACAAAAGAGUUGCUCUUUUUGGGUUAGCAGACCUAGAUGGAAAUGCUGACUUGGUCAUUUUUUAGCUGUGUAACUAACAUGAGGCCCAAUAAUGUAUGUUUCUAACAAUUUACCAGCUAAUGCUGGUGCUGAAUGCUGAUGAUGCUAGUAUUAGAACCAGACUUUGAGAACCACUGCUGUGGGUUAAUGUUAAUGAACCACAAGUCAAGGCCAUCUAGCCUUAGUAGCAGGAACCCUUUCUGAUGUGACUGUUUUCCCACUCUAUUUUCUCUUGGCUUCCUUUGUGGUUUUCUAACUGCAGCAGGUGCUAGGGGUGGUUUGAGGGUAGAGUGGAAUAGGAAAGAGAGGGAUCUGAAAAAGCCUGCUUCUGUACUCUUGGUGCUUCAGAAUCUUUAAAACAAGCCCCCUGCAACCUCACACAGCAUCUUUCUCCCAUCCUGGGCCUCUUUUCCUCAAUUCCCUCACUUCUCUAAGGCUAGCAUUCCAAAAGGAAGACUCAGCCAUUACCUGCCCAUGACUAGGUCUGCAGGGAGAAUGCUGUGGACUGGGUUCAGGUCUUUUGGGACCCACAUUGCCUGCCAGCCUCUUGCCCUACUCCUCCACUAGAUCCCUUCUUCUGCUUCUUUCUUCCCUGUUCCCCAGUUCCUAGGUAAUCUGCUUCCAGCCUUCAGAAGGAACAGCCUCAGAAACCGCUGCUGUGAGUACUCUCCUGCUCACAGACCCAAGAUGAUUCCUGUGGCCUCUUGGUUUUUUAAAAUGGAAACUGCCCAACUUAAUUCUGAUAACUACCUCCAAAUAAGCCCAACCUCAUCUUCACUUUCUUCCCUUCUUGACUCCAGUUCUUCAACCACAGAAACCUCUGUACCAUCUCUGUCUAUGAGAUAAUAUGUAUGAAAACACCUGGCAUGGUCCUCCCAACCCUUUCCCUUCCUCACGGAUUCUCAUUUCAAAACAUCUCCUAGCACAGACAUUCACAAACUUUUGGCACUUUGGGUCCCUUUGGCAGCCUAUGGCUCCCUUAAGAGAAUAAUAUUUGUUUUUAAUAAAUAUGUAAAGUUCCCAA